rnacentral:rRNA from 1 species
UACGUAGGGUGCAAGCGUUGUCCGGAAUCAUUAGGCGUAAAGAGCGUGUAGGCGGCUUGAUCAGUCCGCUGUAAAAGUCCAGGGCUCAACCCUGGAAGGCCGGUGGAUACUGUCAGGCUAGAGUCCGGAAGAGGCGAGUGGAAUUCCUGGUGUAGCGGUGAAAUGCGCAGAUAUCAGGAGGAACACCAAUGGCGAAGGCAGCUCGCUGGGACGGUACUGACGCUGAGACGCGAAAGCGUGGGGAGCAAACAGG